GAUGAAGAACGUAGUGAAAUGCGAUAAGUAAUGUGAAUUGCAGAAUUCAGUGAACCAUCGAAUCUUUGAACGCACAUUGCGCCCGCCAGUAUUCUGGCGGGCAUGCCUGUCCGAGCGUCAUCUCAACCCUCGAGCCCCCCCGGGGGCUCGGCGUUGGGGACCGGCCCCGCCCCAGGGCGCGCCGCCCCCCAAAUCCAGUGGCGGUCCCGCCGCAGCCUCCCCUGCGCAGUAGCUUGCACACUCGCAACUGGAGAGCGGCGCGGCCACGCCGUAAAACACCCAACUUCUGAAUGUUGACCUCGAAUCAGGUAGGAAUACCCGCUGAACUUAAGCAUAUCAAUAAGCGGAGGA
rnacentral:misc_RNA from 1 species